GAUGAACGCUGGCGGCGUGCCUAAUACAUGCAAGUCGAGCGAACAGACGAGGAGCUUGCUCCUCUGACGUUAGCGGCGGACGGGUGAGUAACACGUGGAUAACCUACCUAUAAGACUGGGAUAACUUCGGGAAACCGGAGCUAAUACCGGAUAACAUGUUGAACCGCAUGGUUCAACAGUGAAAGACGGUCUUGCUGUCACUUAUAGAUGGAUCCGCGCCGCAUUAGCUAGUUGGUAAGGUAACGGCUUACCAAGGCAACGAUGCGUAGCCGACCUGAGGGGGUGAUCGGCCACACUGGAACUGAGACACGGUCCAGACUCCUACGGGAGGCAGCAGUAGGGAAUCUUCCGCAAUGGGCGAAAGCCUGACGGAGCAACGCCGCGUGAGUGAAGAAGGUCUUCGGAUCGUAAAACUCUGUUAUUGGGGAAGAACAAAUGUGUAAGUAACUAUGCACGUCUUGACGGUACCUAAUCAGAAAGCCACGGCUAACUACGUG
rnacentral:rRNA from 1 species